GUCCAGGGAUGGGAAUCGAACCCACAUUGUUCCGCUUACCGGGCAGAUGCCAUGUCCACUAAGCUACCCUGGA